rnacentral:rRNA from 1 species
CAGCAGCCGCGGGAAUACGAGGGGGGCAAGCGUUGUUCGGAAUUAUUGGGCGUAAAGGGUGCGUAGGCGGCUUGACAAGUCUUGUGUGAAAUCUAUGGGCUCAACCCAUAGUCUGCACGGGAAACUGUCGGGCUUGAGAAUGGGAGAGGUGAGUGGAAUUUCCGGUGUAGCGGUGAAAUGCGUAGAUAUCGGAAGGAACACCUGUGGCGAAAGCGGCUCACUGGACCAUUUCUGACGCUGAUGCACGAAAGCUAGGGGAGCAAACAGGAUUAGAUACCCCAGUAGUCCCUGUCUCUUAUAA